rnacentral:tRNA from 1 species
GCCUUCAUGGUGUAAUGGUUAGCACACUCGGCGCGUAUUCGAGAGGUCCAGGUUCGAGUCCCGGCGACGGCA